rnacentral:rRNA from 1 species
UACAGAGGGUGCGAGCGUUAAUCGGAGUUACUGGGCGUAAAGGGCGCGUAGGCGGUUACAUGAGUGUGUUGUGAAAGCCCCGGGCUUAACCUGGGAAGCGCAAUGCAAACGAUAUAACUGGAGUAGAUGAGAGGGUGGCGGAAUUUCCGGUGUAGCGGUGAAAAGCGUAGAGAUCGGAAGGAACGUCGAUGGCGAAGGCAGCCACCUGGCAUCAUACUGACGCUGAGGCGCGAAAGCGUGGGGAUCGAACAGG